GCCCCAAGUUUCAUUUUUUUCUCAGAUAGUUUAGCACACAUUUGCUAGUUUGGAGACAUCUUAAAAUUUAAGUGAAGAAACAGGUUUUGUGUCAGUAAAAUAGGAGACUGCAACCAAUAGACUAUGUAGCCCUGUGAAUUCCUCAAUAGUAGCCAUAGGACCAGUAUCUUCCACAGUACAGCGGGUGCCAGCAGCCAUAGCCAUAGCCGCCAUAGCCACCAUAGCCACAGCCACCAUAGCCACCAUAGCCACAGCCAUAGCCACAGCCCAGGCUUCUGUAGCCACAGCCGAGGCCACCAUAGCCAUAGCCCAGGCCACCAUAGCCACAGCCAUAGCCCAGGCCACCAUAGCCACAGCCUAGGCCAUAGUAGUUGCCGUAGUAGCACAUAGUGUCAGAGGUUGAAGAUUCAGUCAAGAAUCAGGUAACCAGCGUCGACAAUCUGAACACCACUAGCUAUCCCUGUGCUUUUAUACACCUUCAGUGAUGGGUGGGGCAAACCACAGGAAAAGGUGGACUCAUAAUUCACUUUAAUUUACAUUAGAAAAAUUCCCCGUUUGUUUCUUUAGGCAAAGAAUUUUCAUACUUUAGAUUCUUUCUACUUUAAGUUAGGAGUCCCAUGAUUAAGCCACCUUACUUUUAUGAUAAAUGAUUACUGUAUUUACAAAUCUACAUCAAAGUAGUCUAUUGUGAAAAGUUCUCAACUGUGGUUUUUAUUUUUUUUUUUGAAUUUCAAAAAAAUAGUAAACUGCUUGUGUCAGGAGCUUAGAUGCAUAGAGAGACAUUUUAAGUAAAAUAAGAAUUUUGUGGGAGGGGAGCUGUGUCAUAGAAAAUUAAGCCAUCUGCCACCUGCUACUCUAUAUCGAGAGCAAUUCUUGGCAAUACUGGAUUAGAUAAUGGCCUGAGUAUUUAGGUUCCUACCACCCAUGUGAGAAACCUGUAUGUAUCUUGGGAUCCCAGCUUCAGCCUGUCUCAGCUCUGGCUGUUGAGGCCAUUUGAAGGAAUGAAACAGGAGAUGGAAAAACACUCUGUGUGUGUGUGUGUGUGUGUGUAUUUCUCCCUCUUUCAUUCACAUUGACUUUCAAAUAAAUAAAUAUUUACAGUAGAAUUUAUAUGUAUG
rnacentral:lncRNA from 1 species